CAGUAAGACAGUACAAGAGAGUACAAUAAGGCCGGGGCGGUGUACGAGGGCUGCUCCUCCCUCCCCACAACAACAGCCGUCACUGCCACUUGUCGUCGCCUCUCAACCAACACCAACAACACCGCUAAAUGAACUCUUCCCUCACAUGUAUCCUCCGCCAGUCACUACCCAGGACAUCCUUACCCAGAAGAACCAUAGCUGCAGUAUCAGGGCCUAGUGCCAUAGAGGCCAUGUGAGAGGUAGAAUCUCUGCUACAAAGUAUCAACACUGAGAUACUUCACCUCCAACAUCCCAACUACAGCACACUCCGCCAGCAGCUGGUUGAUGCAAGUUUACUCAAAUGCAAGUUGUCUGAAGUGUUCCAUGUUCAAUAUCAGCAAUGUGUGAACUGUUGUUCAACCCAUGUACUGUGCUCAAAGGAAAUUAUAUUUAUGAAGUGAA